AGCGAACGCUGGCGGCAGGCCUAACACAUGCAAGUCGAACGAACUCUUCGGAGUUAGUGGCGGACGGGUGAGUAACACGUGGGAACGUGCCUUUAGGUUCGGAAUAACUCAGGGAAACUUGUGCUAAUACCGAAUGUGCCCUUCGGGGGAGAGAUUGAUCGCAUUUCGAGGGGCCCGCGUCUGAUGAGCUAGUUGGUGAGGUAAAGGCGCACCAAGGCGACGAUCAGUAGCUGGUCUGAGAGGAUGAUCAGCCACAUUGGGACAGAGACACGGCCCAAACUCCUGCGGGAGGGAGCAGUGGGGAGUCUUGCGCAAUGGGCGAAAGCCUGACGCAGCCAUGCCGCGUGAAUGAUGAAGGUCUUAGGAUUGUAAAAUUCUUUCACCGGGGACGAUAAUGACGGUACCCGGAGAAGAAGCCCCGGCUAACUUCGUGCCAGCCGCCGCAGUAA
rnacentral:rRNA from 1 species